UUCCGUUUAGCUUAAAUUUAAAGCGGUAGUUUGAAGAGCUAUAGUUGCAGUAAUGUGGCGGAAG
rnacentral:tRNA from 1 species